rnacentral:rRNA from 1 species
AUAACCAGCGAAAGUUGGACUAAUACCUUAUGUAUUCGUUUGAUCUCAUGAGAUUACGAAUAAAGAUUUAUCGGUUAUGGGAUGGGGGAUGCGUCUGAUUAGGCUUGUUGGCGGGUAACGGCUCACCAAGGCAACGAUCAGUAGGGGUUCUGAGAGGAAGGUCCCCCACAUUGGAACUGAGACACGGGUCCAAACUCCUACGGGAGGCAGCAGUGAGGAAUAUUGGUCAAUGGACGCAAGUCUGAACCAGCCAAAGUAGCGUGCAGGAUGACGGCCCUAUGGGUUGUAAACUGCUUUUAUAUGGGGGAUAAAGUGGGGGAACGUGUUCCCUUUGCAGGUACCAUAUGAAUAAAGGACCGGCUAAUUCCGUGCCAGCAGCCGCGGUAAAU